CUAUUCACCUGGCUAGGAGAGAUACCAUGAUCAUGAAGGUCAUCUUCCUAGGGCAAGGCUCGUUCAUUGCACUCCGAGUGUGCUGACCCCUAUGAUUUCCCCAAAUGUGGGACACUUGACUGCAUAAUUUGUGGUAGCAGGGGACUACAUUCACACACUCCCUUG